rnacentral:sRNA from 1 species
GACUCUGGUGGUGGCACUCCUGAUUUUCUUUCAGGACAGGGUUCAAUUCCCUGCAGUGUC